GAUGAACGCUGGCGGCGUGCUUAACACAUGCAAGUCGAACGGGAAAUAUUUCAUUGAGACUUCGGUGGAUUUGAUUUAUUUCUAGUGGCGGACGGGUGAGUAACGCGUGGGUAACCUGCCUUAUACAGGGGGAUAACAGUCAGAAAUGGCUGCUAAUACCGCAUAAGCGCACAGAGCUGCAUGGCUCAGUGUGAAAAACUCCGGUGGUAUAAGAUGGACCCGCGUUGGAUUAGCUAGUUGGUGGGGUAACGGCCCACCAAGGCGACGAUCCAUAGCCGGCCUGGGAGGGAGAACGGCCACAUUGGGACUGAGAAGCGGCCCAGACUCCUACGGGAGGCGGCAGUGGGGAAUAUUGCACAAUGGGGGGAAGCCUGAUGCAGCGACGCUGCGUGAAGGAAGAAGUAUCUAGGGAUGUGAACUUCUAUCAGAAGGGAAGAUAGUGACGGUACCUGACUAAGAAGCCCCGGCUAACUACGUG
rnacentral:rRNA from 1 species